UACGGAGGGGGCUAGCGUUGUUCGGAAUUACUGGGCGUAAAGCGCGCGUAGGCGGCUUGACAAGUUGGAGGUGAAAGCCCGGAGCUCAACUUCGGAAUUGCCUUCAAGACUGUCUCGCUCGAGGCAGGGAGAGGAGAGCGGAAUACCCAGUGUAGAGGUGAAAUGCGUAGAUAUUGGGUGGAACACCGGUGGCGAAGGCGGCUCUCUGGGCCAGAACUGACGCUAAGGCGCGAAAGCGUGGGGAGCAAAAAGG
rnacentral:rRNA from 1 species